GAUUGUUAUUGUUAUUAUUGUACACAAACAUGUUCUUCUGUUCAAGGUUCGACUGUACAUCUUCUAAGACCCUAAAACAAAGCCUGUUUGAGCUGCCUCAAACCGCUUCUUAUCGAGGACGAGUCUGCGAGUGUUGUCUAAUUUCUACGACAAUUUGGCAUCUCCUGGCUCGGCUGCACGAGUCUUUUCAGCUUUUCUGGACAACAAGCACACCGGAGGAUGCCCAUGGAAGAGUUUCACCCUGAAGUGUGUGUUGACAUGCAGGCGGUCUGCCCUUUGUUGUGCAGAGCGAAA